CUUUCAGUUUGUGAUGAGGCCCAUUGGACUGGAAUUGUUGCCCAGAACCUUUGAGCCAACCACACUUCUCCCUGGAAAGGAGUUCUCUUUGGAGCAAUGGAACAUCAUUUUCAUUGAGGACUUCUGAAAUUUGGAGCUCAGGUUAUAAUGAUCAAGCAAAAGCCUGUGAGAACUAUCUAAGGUAUUUUGGUCACAGCCACACAAAAGUAACUAAAACAUUCUGAAGAAAAGGAAAAGAU